GCUUAGUAAAGUCCUCAAUCAAAAGUCAACCCUUAUUUUCCCUCAGGCACUGCCAAGUCAGUAAACAACAGUCCUUGGCGGCAGCUGUGUGGAUCCCAGCCAUACCUUUGGGAACUUUUGCUCUACUGAUGACCCUGGGGUCGCCUGCUAACUAAAGGAAGAUUGCAGGACCCUCCACUGGCCCUGGACGUGGGGCCUCAGCACAUUGAUCAGACAUGGUCCCAGGCUGUGCCUAAUGAUGGAGGAGUGCACAAGUUCUAAAUAUGCUUCAAGGAGAAGAUGUCCAUCCACAAAGGCAUGCGAAACCUCAACAGCAUCAUCGUAGAGUCAGGCUGGCUCCAGAGCUUCCUUCUGAAUUUCACAGGUGUUUGAACUCAUUUGUGAAGUCUCCCACUUCAGUUGGAGGCCCCAGUGAGAUCUCGAGCCCCCGGAUCAGGAGGUAAGGACUUUGGAGAGGGCUUCUGUAAGAGUGUGUGUGUGCUUGCUUGGGGAAGAAUUCUCUAGGCCUGUGGCUGGGGUUUGCUAAGCUGGGGCCUGUGAAGGAGACUUAAACCCUUAUCCCCUUUGGGGGUGUUUCUGAGUGCGGACUUGAAGAGUAUGCAUUUCCCAAAUCCCGAGAGGGAUUGGGUCAGAAAUCCGAGAAAGUGAAUGGUGUCCUCUCCGGAGCCUGCCCCUGGAUCUGGUAUUUGAGAUUUUGACCAAAAUUUAGGCUGAUUUUGGAACCAUCUGUUCUGUUCUGUCCUGUUCUGUUCUGGUAAAUUAGUUCUGUUUCUCUAGAAUUCUGUUUUGUUUUGCCCCAUGGCCUGUUUUACUCUAGGAGUCUGCCUGCUUUAAGGCUUGGUCUUCAAGUUCUGUUUGGACCCCUACCUUCUCUAGGAGUCUGCCUGCUUGAAGGUUCGGUCCUGAAGUUCUGUUUGGGUCCUAGAGUUGGCCAUGGAGUUCUGUAAAUCCGGAUUCAGUAGAGGCUGUUGGGUUGCUGGACACAGCUUAGUCCCACAGUCAGGUCACUAAAGAGCCAUCUUUCAGUGACUUCAGGGG
rnacentral:lncRNA from 1 species